AGUCGUGCGAACAGAUGAGAAGCUUGCUUCUCUGAUGUUAGCGGCGGACGGGUGAGUAACACGUGGGUAACCUACCUAUAAGACUGGGAUAACUCCGGGAAACCGGGGCUAAUACCGGAUAAUAUUUUGAACCGCAUGGUUCAAUAGUGAAAGACGGUUUCGGCUGUCACUUAUAGAUGGACCCGCGCCGUAUUAGCUAGUUGGUAAGGUAACGGCUUACCAAGGCGACGAUACGUAGCCGACCUGAGAGGGUGAUCGGCCACACUGGAACUGAGACACGGUCCAGACUAAUACGGGAGGCAGCAGUAGGGAAUCUUCCGCAAUGGGCGAAAGCCUGACGGAGCAACGCCGCGUGAGUGAUGAAGGUCUUCGGAUCGUAAAACUCUGUUGUUAGGGAAGAACAAAUUUGUUAGUAACUGAACAAGUCUUGACGGUACCUAACCAGAAAGCCACGGCUAACUACGUGCCAGCAGCCGCGGUAAUACGUAGGUGGCAAGCGUUAUCCGGAAUUAUUGGGCGUAAAGCGCGCGUAGGCGGUUUCUUAAGUCUGAUGUGAAAGCCCACGGCUCAACCGUGGAGGGUCAUUGGAAACUGGGAAACUUGAGUGCAGAAGAGGAGAGUGGAAUUCCAUGUGUAGCGGUGAAAUGCGCAGAGAUAUGGAGGAACACCAGUGGCGAAGGCGGCUCUCUGGUCUGUAACUGACGCUGAUGUGCGAAAGCGUGGGGAUCAAACAGGAUUAGAUACCCUGGUAGUCCACGCCGUAAACGAUGAGUGCUAAGUGUUAGGGGGUUUCCGCCCCUUAGUGCUGCAGCUAACGCAUUAAGCACUCCGCCUGGGGAGUACGACCGCAAGGUUGAAACUCAAAGGAAUUGACGGGGACCCGCACAAGCGGUGGAGCAUGUGGUUUAAUUCGAAGCAACGCGAAGAACCUUACCAAAUCUUGACAUCCUUUGACCGCUCUAGAGAUAGAGUCUUCCCCUUCGGGGGACAAAGUGACAGGUGGUGCAUGGUUGUCGUCAGCUCGUGUCGUGAGAUGUUGGGUUAAGUCCCGCAACGAGCGCAACCCUUAAGCUUAGUUGCCAUCAUUAAGUUGGGCACUCUAGGUUGACUGCCGGUGACAAACCGGAGGAAGGUGGGGAUGACGUCAAAUCAUCAUGCCCCUUAUGAUUUGGGCUACACACGUGCUACAAUGGAUAAUACAAAGGGCAGCGAAUCCGCGAGGCCAAGCAAAUCCCAUAAAAUUAUUCUCAGUUCGGAUUGUAGUCUGCAACUCGACUACAUGAAGCUGGAAUCGCUAGUAAUCGUAGAUCAGCAUGCUACGGUGAAUACGUUCCCGGGUCUUGUACACACCGCCCGUCACACCACGAGAGUUUGUAACACCCGAAGCCGGUGGAGUAACCUUUUAGGAGCUAGCC
rnacentral:rRNA from 1 species